rnacentral:rRNA from 1 species
CCCCUACGGGAGGCAGCAGUGGGGAAUAUUGGGCAAUGGGCGCAAGCCUGACCCAGCAAUGCCGCGUGAAGGAAGAAGGCCCUCGGGUUGUAAACUUCUUUUAUCAGGGACGAAGGAUGUGACGGUACCUGAUGAAUAAGCUCCGGCUAACUACGUGCCAGCAGCCGCGGUAAUACGUAGGGAGCAAGCGUUAUCCGGAUUUAUUGGGUUUAAAGGGUGCGUAGGCGGUCCGGAAAGUCAGCGGUAAAAGCCCGGGGCUCAACCCCGGCGAGCCGUUGAAACUGUCGGACUAGAGACGGCGAGAA